GACGAACGCUGGCGGCGUGCUUAACACAUGCAAGUUGAACGGAAAGGCCCUGCUUUUGUGGGGUGCUCGAGUGGCGAACGGGUGAGUAACACGUGAGUAACCUGCCCUUGACUUUGGGAUAACUUCAGGAAACUGGGGCUAAUACCGGAUAGGAGCUCCUGCUGCAUGGUGGGGGUUGGAAAGUUUCGGCGGUUGGGGAUGGACUCGCGGCUUAUCAGCUUGUUGGUGGGGUAGUGGCUUACCAAGGCUUUGACGGGUAGCCGGCCUGAGAGGGUGACCGGCCACAUUGGGACUGAGAUACGGCCCAGACUCCUACGGGAGGUAGCAGUGGGGAAUAUUGCACAAGGGGCGGAAGCCUGAUGCAGCAACGCCGCGUGCGGGAUGACGGCCUUCGGGUUGUAAACCGCUUUCGCCUGUGACGAAGCGUGAGUGACGGUAAUGGGUAAAGAAGCACCGGCUAACUACGUG
rnacentral:rRNA from 1 species